rnacentral:rRNA from 1 species
CAACAGGGAUUGCCUCAGUAACGGCGAGUGAAGCGGCAAAAGCUCAAAUUUGAAAUCUAGCACCUUCGGUGUUCGAGUUGUAAUUUGAAGAUGGUAACCUUGGGUUUGGCUCUUGUCUAUGUUCCUUGGAACAGGACGUCAUAGAGGGUGAGAAUCCCGUCUGAUGAGAUGCCCAUUCCUAUGUAAGGUGCUAUCGAAGAGUCGAGUUGUUUGGGAAUGCAGCUCUAAGUGGGUGGUAAAUUCCAUCUAAAGCUAAAUAUUGGCGAGAGACCGAUAGCGAACAAGUACAGUGAUGGAAAGAUGAAAAGAACUUUGAAAAGAGAGUGAAAAAGUACGUGAAAUUGUUGAAAGGGAAGGGCAUUAGAUCAGACUUGGUGUUUUACGAUUAUCUUCUCUUCUUGAGUUGUGCACUCGUAUUUCACUGGGCCAGCAUCGAUUCGGAUGGCAAGAUAAUGGCAGUUGAAUGUGGCUUCACUUCGGUGGAGUGUUAUAGCUUCUGCUGAUAUUGCCUGUCUGGAUCGAGGGCUGCGUCUUUUGACUAGGAUGCUGGCGUAAUGAUCUAAUGCCGCCCG